CACAGCUCGGAAAUGUAUGUGCGACUUUGCAUGUCGUCCGGCGCAGCACACUUAUGCAAGCACUUUUGUUAAUACUCGUAAUUAAUGUGCGUAUUUACAGUACGUAACACUACGUAUAUCAGAAUUUCGUGCAUACUAAUAUUACUUAUUCAGGUUAUAAUAAAAGUAAUAAUGCUGGAACAAUGGAUGGAUACUGUAUCUCGACGUUAAUGCACAUCAUGAGACAUGAUUCACAUGAAGGAGAACUGCAAUUUACGUCCAAUUAAACAGAGAUCACUGUCACCGAUCGGCCUUUAACAUUUCAAUUUUUUUCUACCGGCUGCUGCGGGAAAGGGUGCAAGGUAUUCCGCAGACUCACCAGAACGGCGAUGGCCUCGUCAACGCGUCCGGCGUGGAGGUGCUCGCGCGCGGUGCGCAGACCGUGCUGGAAGGCCUGCACGUAGCCGCAGAAGACGGCGGCGGCGUUGCGCUGUCGCUCCCUGGCCAGCUCCUUCCAGGACUGGCCCGUGGUCUUCUUGGUGUUGUACUCGCGGUAGACGUGGUAGCUGAGCGCCGUCAGCGUGGCGGCGCUGACGCUGUAGCGCAGCAGACUCCCGCUGCUCAGGCUGCUGCGACCCAGCUGCGACAGGCCCUCCUGCACCGCUUCCGCCACCGCCAUCCUCUCUUCAGAUCGCUUCCCUUAUCACAAUAAAAACGUCACAAAUCUCCUCUCUUCCAAUCACGCACUGGCAGGGCAAACCAAAUAAAAGAAAUAAGACGGAUAACAGGAAUGCGAAGCUAUGGCUCCAUACAGGCUUCAGUCAGCUGAUGGAGUUUCACGUUCAAACGCGUUUCAGCAGCAUAGCACGCUUAUGUGAGAAUCCAAGGAAAAUGUGCAACGAACUGGACAGUUUGUCGAUUCCGGAUGACGAAAAUACUGAUCGGAUUGUGCGAAAGACGUCAGUGCAAUUGUUAUGAAUCACUUGGCGAGUCCGCGACGAUUACUAAUUCAGUGCGGCGUGCCUUCCAACUGAUGCAACCCACAGACGGAUUUUCACUCUUUGAAAGCAAGAGAGACUUUUGACUAAUGCUUAUCAGGAGCAAUUCGACCACUUACAAAUACUUAAUAACAAUUGCUGCAGCUGCAAUCAGAUGGGCACGUACGUCCAAGAUCCUAUCGGAGCAAAGAAGCUGGAAAAAAUUCAGCUCGAGCGAAAGAAACGAAGGAUUCUCCCCACUGCAACAACGGCUGCGAUGAGAAAAUCGUAGGCCACUGGUGUAACGAGCAUACUUACAAAGGGGCCAUCGCGCAUUUCAAACGGACUCCUCGCACAAGGGAAAACUCUAAAGUUGUUCGACUCGCUACGCCACUGCCGUAGGCGUUAGGGCCCAUCAACGAAUUAGGUAACGCGAUAACGCUCCCAAAAAGGCCUUCGUACUUUGUACCGUGCGUGCGUAUGUCAAUAGAUUCAUAUAUCCUUACGUCCUUAUUUUUUGGAAAUUAUCUCCUAAAUGAACAUUGAUUUUUUCAAGAAGUUAUUAAUUUCAUAAAAUACA